rnacentral:rRNA from 1 species
GCCCAGACUCCUACGGGAGGCAGCAGUGGGGAAUAUUGCACAAUGGGGGAAACCCUGAUGCAGCAACGCCGCGUGAGUGAGGAAGUAUUUCGGUAUGUAAAGCUCUAUCAGCAGGGAAGAAAAUGACGGUACCUGACUAAGAAGCCCCGGCUAACUACGUGCCAGCAGCCGCGGUAAUACGUAGGGGGCAAGCGUUAUCCGGAUUUACUGGGUGUAAAGGGAGCGUAGACGGUCCUGCAAGCCAGAUGUGAAAGCCCGGGGCUCAACCCCGGGACUGCAUUUGAAACUGUGUGGCUGGAGUGUCGGAGAGGCAGGCGGAAUUCCUAGUGUAGCGGUGAAAUGCGUAGAUAUUAGGAGGAACACCAGUGGCGAAGGCGGCCUACUGGACGAUGACUGACGUUGAGGCUCGAAAGCGUGGGGAGCAAACAGGAUUAGAUACCCCCGUA